rnacentral:rRNA from 1 species
GAGUUUGAUCCUGGCUCAGAAUGAACGUCCGCGGCGNNAAUUAGGCAUGCAAGUCGAGCGAGAAUUUUUAUUCAGAUACUUCGGUUGAUGAAUAAGAAGGACAGCGGCGAAAGUGGAGAGUAACAGGUAGAUACUGUGCCCAAGGGUUCAGGAUAGCCAUGCGAAAGCGUGAGUAAUACUGAAUAAUGUCUCCGGACCAAAGAUUUAUUGCCCUUGGAGCGGUCUGCUUCCUAUUAGAUUGUUGGUGGGGUAAUGGCCUACCAAGUCAAAGAUGGGUAGCGGGUGUGAGAGCAUGGCCCGUCUCACUGGGACUGAGAUACUGCCCAGACACCUACGGGUGGCUGCAGUCGAGAAUCUUCCGCAAUGGACGAAAGUCUGACGGAGCGACGCCGCUGUGAUGGACGAAGGCCCUCGGGUUGUAAACAUCUGUCGUAGGGGAGGAAAUUUUGACCGAUCCUAGGAGGAAGCACAGGCUAAAUUCGUUGCCAGCAGCCGCGGUANAUACGAAUUGUGCGAACGUUAUUCGGAAUCACUGGGCUUAAAGGGGUGCGUAAGGCGGACUUGUAAGGUCCAGGUGUGAAAUCCCACGGCUCAAA